AGUAUGAGAAGUUGUAUCAGCCUAUUUAUGCAAAGCGUUAUAAUAUUGUGAAUGAACUACUGAAAUCGAGCUGACUCAAGAGGAUACGAAGAUGGACGAAGGGGAGGACAAAACUGCUCAAGAGAGAGGAGUUCUAAGUUUCUGGCUGACUGCUUUGCAAAAUAAUGAUGUUACUUCCCAC